rnacentral:rRNA from 1 species
UUUGAUCAUGGCUUAGGAUGAACGCUAGCGGGAGGCCUAACACAUGCAAGCCGAGCGGUAGAGAUUCUUCGGAAUCUUGAGAGCGGCGUACGGGUGCGGAACACGUGUGCAACCUACCUUUAUCUGGAGGAUAGCCUUUCGAAAGGAAGAUUAAUACUCCAUAAUAUAUUGAUUGGCAUCAAUUGAUAUUGAAAGCUCCGGCGGAUAGAGAUGGGCACGCGCAAGAUUAGUUAGUUGGUGAGGUAACGGCUCACCAAGACGAUGAUCUUUAGGGGCCUGAGAGGGUGAUCCCCCACACUGGUACUGAGACACGGACCAGACUCCUACGGGAGGCAGCAGUGAGGAAUAUUGGUCAAUGGGUGCAAGCCUGAACCAGCCAUCCCGCGUGAAGGACGACUGCCCUAUGGGUUGUAAACUUCUUUUGUAUAGGGAUAAACCUACCCUCGUGAGGGUAGCUGAAGGUACUAUACGAAUAAGCACCGGCUAACUCCGUG